UUUCCUCUUCGUCUUUUGCCUCUG
rnacentral:miRNA from 1 species